rnacentral:rRNA from 1 species
GACGAACGCUGGCGGCGUGCUUAACACAUGCAAGUCGAACGGGCCUUGUCCCCUUUUUUUUGGGGGUGGGGUUAGUGGCGACCGGGUGAGUAACACGUGAGUAACCUGCCCCUCACUUCUGGAUAACCGCUUGAAAGGGUGGCUAAUACGGGGUGUUCUGGCCUGCUCGCAUGGGUGGGUUUGGAAAGAUUCGACCGGUUUUGGUUGUUUUGGUGGGGGAUGGGCUCGCGGCCUAUCAGCUUGUUGGUGGGGUGAUGGCCUGCCAAGGCUUUGACGGGUAGCCGGCCUGAGAGGGUGGGCGGUCACACUGGGACUGAGACACGGCCCAGACUCCUACGGGAGGCAGCAGUGGGGAAUAUUGCACAAUGGGCGCAAGCCUGAUGCAGCGACGCCGCGUGAGGGAUGGAGGCCUUCGGGUUGUGAACCUCUUUCGCCAGUGAAGAAGGUCCUGCUCUUUGUGGUGGGGUUGACGGUAGCUGGGUUAAUGAAGCGCCGGCUAACUACGUG